UCCGGUGACCAUAGCGACGGGGUCACACCUGUUCCCAUCCCGAACACAGUAGUUAAGCCCGUCUGCGCCGAUGGUACUGCCCUGGCAACGGGGCGGGAGAGUAGGUCAUUGCCGGGU
rnacentral:rRNA from 1 species